rnacentral:rRNA from 1 species
CCUACGGGUGGCAGCAGUGAGGAAUAUUGGUCAAUGGGCGCGAGUCUGAACCAGCCAAGUCGCGUGAGGGAUGAAUGCCCUAUGGGUUGUAAACUUCUUUUAUAUGGGAAUAAAAUGUUCCACGUGUCGUAUUUUGUAUGUACCAUAUGAAUAAGGAUCGGCUAACUCCGUGCCAGCAGCCGCGGUAAUACGGAGGAUCCGAGCGUUAUCCGGAUUUAUUGGGUUUAAAGGGAGCGUAGGUGGCCUGUUAAGUCAGCGGUGAAAGGCUGAGGCUCAACCUGUGGAUGGCAGUUGAUACUUGGAAGCUUGAAUGCGUUAGAGGCAAAGGGAAUGCGUGGUGUAGCGGUGAAAUGCUUAGAUAUCAGGAGGAACACCGGUGGCGUAAGCGCUCUACUGGGCCGUAACUGACGCUGAUGAACGAAAGCCAGGGGAGCAAACGGGAUUAGAUACCCCAGUAGUC